AUUGAACGCUGGCGGCAGGCUUAACACAUGCAAGUCGAGCGGGGUGAUGGUGCUUGCACUAUCACUUAGCGGCGGACGGGUGAGUAAUGCUUAGGAAUCUGCCUAUUAGUGGGGGACAACAUCUCGAAAGGGAUGCUAAUACCGCAUACGUCCUACGGGAGAAAGCAGGGGAUCACUUGUGACCUUGCGCUAAUAGAUGAGCCUAAGUCGGAUUAGCUAGUUGGUGGGGUAAAGGCCUACCAAGGGGACGAUCUGUAGCGGGUCUGAGAGGACGAUCCGCCACACUGGGACUGAGACACGGCCCAGACUCCUACGGGAGGCAGCAGUGGGGAAUAUUGGACAAUGGGGGGAACCCUGAUCCAGCCAUGCCGCGUGUGUGAAGAAGGCCUUAUGGUUGUAAAGCACUUUAAGCGAGGAGGAGGCUCUUUUGGUUAAUACCCAAGAUGAGUGGACGUUACUCGCAGAAUAAGCACCGGCUAACUCUGUGCCAGCAGCCGCCGUAA
rnacentral:rRNA from 1 species